UUGUAUCAAGAUUGUGCUGCCUCUUGUAAUAAUCAGGGCAGGUAAACAUUUGCUAUAUUAAGACCAUGCAUGUGUCCCCAGACCUAGUUCUUUCCCAAGGUCUGGUUUUGUAAAUGCUGAGGAUAAAC
rnacentral:snoRNA from 1 species